UAGGCAAGGAAAUAGGCCAGUAGCAUAAAGUCUGAAUGAUUUCUUCUGCCUCCCCCCAAAAUGAAAUGAUGAACUGAAGAAAUUGAACUGAAAGACUCCAACCUCAAAGAUUCUAAACUAGCUCCCCAGAGUUUGUUUCUAAGGUCCGAUGGAACAUUCUCCACCUUGACAUCACAAACAUGCAUAUAGAUUGUGUCAGAACCCCUAAUGGCAAAACAUCAAGUACCUUCUGAAGAUGUGCUUUGGUCCAAUGUAUCCACAAGUUCCAUGUUUAUAAUUAGCAAGAACAGAUGAUUUUUUCAGAGCCACUGGAACAGCACAGGCUAGCAGCAAAAAUUACUGGUCAAGGAAUGCAAAUGAAACUAUGGUGCCAGAUGGAGGACAUUUCUAGCAGCAUGUGCUUGCUGCUCCAUGUCUUUCCAUCCACCAAAAAACAACAACAACAACAACUAACAAACUCUCCAAGUGAAAGCAGAAGAACUGGUACCUGGAGAGACAGACACAGGCCCACCUGGUCUUCCUGAAUUGUGUGUCAGCCCCAACUCUCAUCUGACAGCAGCCUCCUUACUGCCUCCUUCCUUUCCCUGGAAUGACUGUGGGUAACUGAAAACACAACAAGCAAAACCUUGGAUGGGGGGAGUGUGGGGAAAUGACUACUGUGUUUGUGAAGCACUUUGCCAAUCAUACAGUGCUAUAUAAGUACUAGCUAUAAUAGGAGCAUUCUCACCAAGGAUAUACCUGGAAAUUCAUCCACACCCUAUUAUCCUGUGCAAUUCUUGUUGAUAUGUUCCCAUGAAUCCUACAAAUAUGGUAGACCCCUUUAGAUUUUGUACUGAUAAAUGGAGAUUAAAGCUGUCCAUUGGUUAUCCUUCACUCUUAAAUGACCGUUUUAUUAGAUGACAUCCUCUAUGACACUUCCCUCAUUCUUCAUCAGUAAGAUGUUUCUACUUACUCAAGCCCUCCAUGAAUCUCCUUAAUGCCUUUUGGUUGACCCAUAGUUUUAAUUCUUUGGAGACUGAGAUAGUCCAUGUCUAAGAGCCUUACCGCAUCACUGGGA
rnacentral:lncRNA from 1 species